UUUAAGGUUGACCUCGGAUCAGGUAGGGAUACCCGCUGAACUUAAGCAUAUCAAUAAGCGGAGGAAAAGAAACCAACCGGGAUUGCCUCAGUAACGGCGAGUGAAGCGGCAAGAGCUCAAAUUUGAAAUCUGGCCCCUUCGGGGUCCGAGUUGUAAUUUGCAGAGGAUGCUUCGGAUGCGGCCCCUGUCUAAGUGCCCUGGAACGGGCCGUCGGAGAGGGUG
rnacentral:rRNA from 1 species